rnacentral:rRNA from 1 species
AUUGAACGCUGGCGGCAGGCCUAACACAUGCAAGUCGAGCGGAUGCAGGGAGCUUGCUCCUGGAUUCGGCGGCGGACGGGUGAGUAAUGCCUAUGAAUCUGCCUGCUAGUGGGGGAUAACGUCCGGAAACGGGCGCUAAUAUCGCAUACGUCCUGAGGGAGAAAGUGGGGGAUCUUCGGACCUCACGCUAUCAGAUGAGCCUAGGUCGGAUUAGCUAGUUGGUGGGGUAAAGGCCUACCAAGGCGACGAUCCGUAACUGGUCUGAGAGGAUGAUCAGUCACACUGGAACUGAGACACGGUCCAGACUCCUACGGGAGGCAGCAGUGGGGAAUAUUGGACAAUGGGCGAAAGCCUGAUCCAGCAAUGCCGCGUGUGUGAAGAAGGUCUUCGGAUUGUAAAGCACUUUAAGUUGGGAGGAAGGGCAGUAAGUUAAUACCUUGCGGUUUUGACGUUACCAAAAGAAUAAGCACCGGCUAACUUCGUG